UUUGCUUGACCUGGGUUUAACUGGUAAAAUAAGGAAGUCGUGUCUAUAAGCUGUAUAUGUGUGUUUGAGUGGACUGUAGGUGCCACCUGGGUACUAAUGAGUGAGUAAUUAGGCUCUGGCACAUGCACAAACAGCCACACCUCGCUCCUUAGGACCCCAGCCACCAUAUGCUGCACCAGUUGGGAGCUAAACUUGCCAAGACCAAAAAGAAAGAGAAGAAAGAGAAAAGUGGUGAAAACUGACCCCAGCAUAGCGAAGACAUGGUGGAAAUGUUUGAUCUAAAGACUUUAGAGAAAUCUUGGAGAGAAAGCCCUCUUUCAACCACUUUCAGGAGCGUGUAAAAUCAGCAUAUGCCAGCCAAAUGUUGGUGGGUCUAUUUGUUUGUCAGCUUCUGAAAUGUUGUCCCUCCCCACUGUGAAACGCGGUAACAAAGUCCCAUCUAAAAGAUACCAUUUACAUA